UGUCGGAGGGGUUCUGCCAGGCCCACAGCUUUUUUUCCGAAGCCGUCUGUUUGUGUGGCGUCCAGUUGGGGUUUGGAGGUGCUCCCUGAAGUGUCCACGAGGUGACAAGUGUGUGGGGGCAGGAAAGGACGUGCACCUCUACAAGUCUGGCUAUCACCACCGGCCUCGUCACAUCUGCGACGGGUCCAGCUGGUACACAAUGCUGACUGAGGUUUUGUGCUGUGGCCCAUGUACCAAGGCAGGCAGGAACCAUGAGGGCAUUACGGUCGGACGGUGGCUUGCAUGGAUGCUGCUAUUCUGGCACAGCUGAGCGAAGCCCUUCAAGCCAUGUUUCCUUCUGUUCUCACUAGCAAACGUGGCGUGGACAAAAACGUUGUGCGUCUUCUGCGUGACAGGACUGAAGGGAACACAAUGAUCAAAGUGUGGCGGCAGAUCCAGGAAAAUCAUCACGAAGAGUACCUUCACCGCAAGGAUCUGUACACCACGCUGCUCAUGACUGUGGCAGAACCCG